UACGAAGGACCCGAGCGUUAUCCGGAUUUAUUGGGUUUAAAGGGUGCGUAGGCGGAAUGGUAAGUCAGUGGUGAAAUCCUGUUGCUUAACAACAGAACUGCCAUUGAUACUACUAAUCUUGAGUGCAUAUGAUGUGGGCGGAAUGUGCCAUGUAGCGGUGAAAUGCUUAGAUAUGGCACAGAACACCGAUUGCGAAGGCAGCUCACAAAAUUGUAACUGACGCUGAGGCACGAAAGCGUGGGGAUCAAACAGG
rnacentral:rRNA from 1 species